rnacentral:rRNA from 1 species
GACGAACGCUGGCGGCGUGCUUAACACAUGCAAGUCGAACGGAAGGGCCCUGCUUUUGUGGGGUGCUCGAGUGGCGAACGGGUGAGUAACACGUGAGUAACCUGCCCUUGACUUUGGGAUAACUUCAGGAAACUGGGGCUAAUACCGGAUAGGAGCUCCUGCUGCAUGGUGGGGGUUGGAAAGUUUCGGCGGUUGGGGAUGGACUCGCGGCUUAUCAGCUUGUUGGUGGGGUAGUGGCUUACCAAGGCUUUGACGGGUAGCCGGCCUGAGAGGGUGACCGGCCACAUUGGGACUGAGAUGCGGCCCAGACUCCUACGGGAGGCAGCAGUGGGGAAUAUUGCACAAUGGGCGGAAGCCUGAUGCAGCAACGCCGCGUGCGGGAUGACGGCCUUCGGGUUGUAAACCGCUUUCGCCUGUGACGAAGCGUGAGUGACGGUAAUGGGUAAAGAAGCACCGGCUAACUACGUG